AUGCUUUCACAACUUGACUUCAAAAUAUUUGGUUUGGAGACCAUCAAAGAUCAAUAUGUGCAUGAUGCUGAUUUUAAAGAUGUAAUGCAGAAUUGUAAAGAAGGAAGAAUGUGGAACAAGUUUGUCGUUAAUGAUGGAUUUGUGUUUCGUGCUAACAAGCUAUGCAUUCCAGCUAGCUCCGUUCGUCUUUUGUUGUUGCAGGAGGCGCAUGGAGGAGGAUUAAUGGGACACUUUGGCGUGAAGAAGACGGAGGACGUACUUGCUACACAUUUCUUUUGGCCAAAUAUGAGACGGGAUGUUGAGCGUUUUAUUGCUCGAUGCACUACAUGA
rnacentral:rRNA from 1 species